UAAAUAUUUUUUUAUUAUAAUUUGCAUCAUAAAAAUACCUUGUUCCUUAAAAUAUCGUCGGUAAACGUAAGCAUAUAACACAAGUUAAACGCGGCUAUUAAAAUUUUCAUUUUCGGAAUGAAAUUUAUUUGGCGAAAUAUGAAAUUGGAACCAAAUUUACAAACUCCGUUGCAAAAACAUAAGCGCGUCAUGGGUCUGCAUGAUGCAAUAAAACUUGUAUGUUUACAUUUUGUAAUCAUCUCGAACAGUAUUUCUUAGCAAGCUUAUUGGCGUUUUUUGAAGAUUUGUGAUAAAUAAGUAAAUGUGUGGUUAUGUGCGAUUCUGCGGACAUGGAUUCUGAUGCGGCUGGAGUAAUUACAUGCUAUCUAGAAGUGACUGUUUUCGUUAAUGGAUUCGAGUGCUUGUUGCUGUAGAAAAUCAUCAUCAAAAAGCACGGCAUAAUUUAAAAAAGAAGAUUGAUCUGCUUGCCGUACGUGAAUUUAUUCGAUAGGAAAACUGUAAAUUUACCAGAAGAAGCUUGUUUUAGAAUCGGUGUCAACUUUGGCCCUGCGUUUUUGGCCACUUCAUGUUUGUAGGAAUGCGAAUUGUCGAAAUUUGAAUUUGUCCUUAGUGUUGUUCCGAUAAGACAAUCAGCCUGGUCUACAAGCUGUCUAAAUAGCAGAACACACCGGUUAAAGUUAAGCUGAAGCAUCGUACACUAAAGGAGUUGAAGAAGACCAUCAAGGGCAAGCGACACAAACGGGACUUCCGUCAGAUUACCCUGCGUGGUGCUAGUGAUAUUAGGCGACCCUAGCGACCGGCCAUCGCCUCAGGCCACUGUCUUCGUACGGCUACCACUGCCUCAAAACGGCCCUGUAAACAAUGAUGAACGAUGGAUGUGAGGUUCCAGCGAAUUUUUAUUCUGGGCGCUUUCGGAGAAUUGGCAUCAAACCGACUCGCUUAUGUAAUACAAAAAGGACGUAGGUUCCGUAAUAAAGCCCAAUAAGUUGGAAUGCACUUUGUGAGUAGACUAUGAAAAAUAAAUGGUCGAUAAAAUCUACUAUUGGAAGCUUACUGCUUUUUUGAAGUUAACUCCUGCUAUUUAUUCGCGAACUUUAUUAGGUUUAUAUGCAACUAUGCACUUUUUAAGCAAACAGGUUUUAAAUGAAUGGAACUUUGCCAGCUUUUUUAUUAGGCAGUUGUCUUAGCUAUUUCGUCACAUCCGUAAAUUUAUUCAAUCGCGCUCUAGUUUACUCUAAAGAGCAUAAUUCAAGAAAUAUUUUACGUGUGCUUCAAUGACCACGCGAUGUAAUGGUAAAGUGUUUGGGUGUGCUCCGUGGUGGCCCUCGUUGGCGUUAUGUUUACUCGAGCGCAUAAUCAAUCAUACCACAAAAACAACGUGUUAGUUUUUAUUUCAGGUACAAGUGGCAAUAAUUUGGGUUUGGCUUGCUUUGCUUUGAGUGACACAAACUAUUAACGAUUGGAUUGGUAGCCGAAGUUAAUUGGAAAUUUCGAUUUUCUUGUAUAUCGGCACAGCGAUUAUGAUACGGUUUCAUUGCAUUGUCUCCUGGUGGUCGAAAGCCCAGAGACCAAGUAGUAACCUUAUCAUGAACGUAGUUGUAUAGCAACGAUUGCACCACCUACCACAGUGAUCCAGAUCAGUUCCAUGCCGCUACCACUAAUUCCUUUCUUUGAUACUUGUAGAUGCUGCACAGGGUUCCUCGAUCUCUAGUAGCAACUAGUAUUGGAUUACUACUCCAAAUAUCUCAUCCUCUAUUGAUCUGCAGCUGGCCUGGCCAUCUACAUUAUUUACUAGGUAGUGAAAAGCAAAAUCACCAGGUGUUGCAUACCAAAAAUAGUUUGCUAUUCCCAGGACGGUUUUGACGGUUUUUUGUGCAGUUUCAGCUGAUCCUGUUUAAUCGCGGGCAACACACGGGCGAUAUGCUAUGCUAUGCUAGUUAACUCCUGAUGCUUGUCCGAAUGUGGUGCUCAUUUGCUAAUUUGUUGUUUUUUUUUUGUUAGUGCCAAAAAAGCCGUUCAAUAAAAUCACCAUGCGUUUUAAUUUAAGAGUUACUGCAAUGCAUGAUGGGGACGCAUCUGAUAUAUUUUGUUACGUUGAAGAUUAAAAAAUCUCCAAUUUUUAAAAUAUCAAGCGACACGGUCUCCUGUGUCCUGGAACCCUCCAAAUCGGCCAAAUGAGAUAAGAUAAUGGUGUACGCAUAGUUAUUGUUGUUCAAAGCACAAUUAGAUACUUUUCUCGAAAGGCCCAUUAAUUAUCUUCAAUUUAAGGUCUAAACACUCAAAAUCGGUAAAACGGCUCGAAGGUUACAAAUUUAUGAUAAUUUAAAAAUUAAAAUAAAACCCAAUUUAAAAAAAAAAAUCAUAUGGUUUGGUAAACCAUUUAAAUGUUUAUAAAGCAUGUUAAACUUGAUUUUCAAUAACGUGGUCCACUUUUGAGGUUCUAUUCAUCAUAGCUUCGAGCGCUUUGAAGCACCCCUAAUAUAUGUCCGAUCGAGUUAAAGUUUUACACAGGAUUUUUUGGAGCCUGUGUAAACGUACAUAGU